rnacentral:rRNA from 1 species
GUCAAGUACAAAGAGCAUCGGGUGGAUGCCUUGGCACUGGGAGCCGAAGAAGGACGUGAUAAGCUGCGAUAAGCUGCGGUAAGGAGCACAUAUCCGAUAUACCCGCAGAUUUCCGAAUGGGGGAACCCACAUACGGUAAUGCGUAUGUAUCAUUAAGUGAAUACAUAGCUUAAUGAAGGGAACGGGGUGAACUGAAACAUCUAAGUAGCCCUAGGAAGAGAAAGAAAAAUCGAUUUCCUGAGUAGCGGCGAGCGAAAGGGAAAGAGGCCAAACCAAAUUGUUUACAGUUUGGGGUUGUGGACCACCGACAUUGACGAAGUUAUGCGAGCCGAAUAGGGUUGGAAAGCUCAAGCAGAGAAGGUAAUACUCCUGUAGGCGAAGCAGAAAGCGCAUAGGUGGCACCAGAGUAGGACCGGACACGUGUAACCCGGUCUGAAGCAGGAGGGACCACCCUCCAAGCCUAAAUACUACCCAGUGACCGAUAGCGAAUAGUACCGUGAGGGAAAGGUGAAAAGAACCCCGGGAGGGGAGUGAAAUAGAAUCUGAAACCUGAUGCUUACAAGCAUAGGGAGCGCAAGUGACCUAGUACUUUUUGUAGAACGGGCCAACGAGUUAUGGUAUGUAGCGAGGUUAAGUUGCUGGAGCAACGGAGCCGUAGAGAAAUCGAGUCUGAAUAGGGCGAGAGUUACAUGCUGUAGACCCGAAACCGGGUGACCUAUCCAUGAGCAGGUUGAAGUAACCGUAAAAGGUUAUGGAGGACCGAACCUAUAUCUGUUGAAAAAGGUUAGGAUGACUUGUGGAUAGCGGUGAAAUUCCAAUCGAACUCGGAUAUAGCUGGUUCUCCUCGAAAUAGCUUUAGGGCUAGCCUCAAGGUAAAGAUACACGGGGGUAGAGCACUGACUGUUCGCGGGGCCUUCACCGGUUACCAACAACUAUCAAACUCCGAAUACCGUGCUAUCAUACUUGGGAGUCAGACUAUGAGAGAUAAGUUCCAUGGUCGAAAGGGAAACAGCCCAGAUCAACAGCUAAGGUCCCAAAGAGUAAGUUAAGUGGAAAAGGAUGUGGGAUUGCACAAACAGCUAGGAUGUUGGCUUAGAAGCAGCCAUACAUUUAAAGAGUGCGUAAUAGCUCACUAGUCGAGUGAUCCUGCGCCGAAGAUAAACGGGGCUCAAACUUACCACCGAAGCUUUGGAAUUAGUAUAACUAAUUGGUAGAGGAGCAUUCUAUACAGGUAGAAGGAGGCGCGUAAGCAAAUCUGGACGGUAUAGAAGAGAGAAUGUUGGCAUGAGUAGCGUAAGGCGGGUGAGAAUCCCGUCCGCCGAAAAUCUAAGGUUUCCUGAGGAAGGUUCGUCCUCUCAGGGUAAGUCGGGACCUAAGCCGAGAGCGAACGCUGUAGGCGAUGGACAACAGGUUGAUAUUCCUGUACCACCAAGGAUUGUUUGAAUGAAGUGGGGACACAGAAGGAUAGAUUGAGCACGCCGUUGGUUGAGCGUGUCCAAGCAGCAAGGCUUGAAAGUAGGCAAAUCCGCUUUCUACAAGGCUGAGCUGUGAUGGGGUGGUCGAAUGACCGGUAGCAAUCGAUUUCACGCUGUCAAGAAAAGCCGCUAAUGAGAUCCAAGGUGCCCGUACCGCAAACCGACACAGGUAGAUGAGGAGAGAAUCCUAAGGUGAGCGAGCGAACUAUUGUUAAGGAACUCGGCAAAAUAACCCCGUAACUUCGGGAGAAGGGGUGCCUGCUUCGGCAGGCCGCAGUGAAGAGGUCCAGGCAACUGUUUACCAAAAACACAGGUCUCUGCUAAAGCGAAAGCUGAUGUAUAGGGGCUGACGCCUGCCCGGUGCUGGAAGGUUAAGGGGAAGUGUUAGGGCAACCGAAGCACAGAACUUAAGCCCCAGUAAACGGCGGCCGUAACUAUAACGGUCCUAAGGUAGCGAAAUUCCUUGUCGGGUAAGUUCCGACCCGCACGAAAGGCGUAAUGA